AAUUCCGACCCAGCACAGUAUUUAUGUGGGUUAAAAAAUAGAAAAAGUGUGUCCGGACACUGGGGAGGUGGGAAGUUUUCUUCAGGCCAGGAGUUCAAGAGCAGCCUAGCAAAGUGGUGUGACCCCAUUUCGGUAUCCCACCUCAGCCUCCCAGCUACUUGAACCCCAAGGUUCAAGGCUGCAAUGAGCUAUGAUCCUACCACGGCACUCCAGCCUGCGAGACUGAGGUAAACCCGGUCUAAAAAAAUUAAAAAACUAUCCAAGCGUGCGACAUUGGGGGACUGCUUGAAGAAAAAUUGAGGCUGCCUGGGCCCUGUAAUCCCAGCAUUUUGGGAGGCUGAGGCGGGAGGAUGGCUUGGAAUCAGGAGUGAGAGACCGGCCUGAGCAACAUGAGAAAACCCCGUCUCUACAAAAGAUACAAAAAUUAGCCAGGCACAGUGCAUGCCUGACCUAAUAUUUUGUAUUUUUUUGUAGAGAUGGGAGGGGGAGAUGCUCCCAUUUUGCCCAGGCCGGUCUCGAACUCCUGAGUACAAGCCAUCUUCUCACCUUGGCCUUCAGAGUUGUUGGGAUUAAAGGUGUGAGCCACGGCGCCUCACUUGGUUUAGGCUAUUUAAUAACAAAGUCCGUGGCUUGGCUUGCUGGCUCACACCUGUAAUUCCAGCACUUUGGGAGGCCAAGGCAGGUGGAUCACCUGAGGUCAGGAGUUCGUGAUCAGUGUAGCCAACGUGAUGAAACCCAGUUUCUACAAAAAUUAGCCACAUGUGGUGGCACAUGCCUGUAGUCCCAGCUACUCGGGAGGCUGAGACAGGAGAACUGCUUAAACCCAGGAGGCAGGGGUUGCAGUUAGUCAAGAUCACAUCACUGAACCCUAGCCUGGUUGACAGAGCGAGACUCCAGAGUUUGAGACCAGCCUGGGCAAUGUAGUGAAACCCUGACUCUACAAAACAAAUGAAAAAGGCAGGUGUAACUGUGUCCACUUGUGUCUCCUGCCACUUAGGAUGCUGAGGCAGGAGGAUCACCUGAGGCCAGGAGCAGGUCUGCAGUGACUAGGGUCAUCCCACAGCUCUCCAUCCUGAGCAAAAGAAUGAGACCAUGUCUCUAGAUAGCUAGCUAGAUACUUGAUAAGUAGUUUUCUAUCACAAUUUUUCUGUACAUUUGAGCAUAUUUUUCUAAAGUAGCAUUCAACACAACAGCAUUUUACAGUGUUAUUAGUUGUUAAUGUGAUUAUGUUUUUCUGAAAUACAGUAUCCUUUACAAAAGCAGUUUUUGUCUGUCAAGGCACACAGAUAGUCCUCAGGUGAAUUUGCCUGAUGUUGGUCACCUUGGUACCAUUUCCUCCCGUUGAUUGGAACAGUCAGUAAUUUCAGGUCACCGUUACCCUUGGAGGAAGAGCCGAAAGGCAACAAGUAAGGGCACUGGUGUCCAGUCCCUUCAAGAAGCAUUUUCACCUUCCCUUAAGGUUUCCCUUGAUGAACAUGGAAGUACUGUAUGUAGAAUUGACUGUUCCAGCAUCUUUGUAUAUUAGACCAAAUUUAUAUGUCUUCCUUUUAUGAGAGGCACCCUGGUAGGCUAGGGGAGUUACACAUGAAGUCUGAUCUCAGCUUCUCUGUCCAGAGAUGCAAGAUGGUCCAAUCAAAUAACAUUCUCUGAGCCUGUUACUCUUUUACUUAUUUAUUUUUUAUUUUUUAGAGAGGGGGUCUUGCUCUUUUGCAGUGGUGUCAUCUUGGAUCACUGCAACCUCCACCUCUCGGGUUCAAGUGAUUCUCCUGCCUCAGCCUCCUGAGUAGCUUGGACUACAGGCACGUGCCACCACAUCCAGCUAAUUUUUGUUUUUAGUAGCGAUGCGGUUUCACCAUUUUGGCAGAGAUCGUCUUGAUCUCUUGACCUCAUGAUCCACCUGCCUUAGCCUCUCAAAAUGCUGUGAUUACAGGUGUGAGCCACCACACUUGCCCUGAGCUCAUUUUUUUAGCUGUAAAAUAAGAAUAACAAUUGUACUAAUCUAAAAAGACAGCUUAUUGUAUUGUCUUUUAUUUUCUAUGAAACUGUUUUUAACAGUAAUUAUUUUCUUUGCCAUGCCACAUUUGUUUUUGUUUUGUCUUUGUUUUUCUUUUAGAUGGAGUCUGUUUGUUUUGUUUUGUUUUUUGUUUUCUUGAGAUGGAGUCUCGCUGUUGUAGCCCAGGCUGGAGUGCAGUGGCAUGAUCUUGGCUCAUCCUGUAUCAUACCCACAGAGACCCUUUUUUCUCCAGGGCCUGGGAAGCAGCCAGGUUCCACGAGUUAAAUGCAGAUCUGAACCAUACGGAGCUGUGAUUAAAGUACACACCCUCCUCUUCUGAAAAGUAGCUAAGGAUUCCAACUUGGUGUAGUGGAGAGUGUGGCAGAGCCAGACCAGACAAGGACUGAUCACAUGGAAAAGCAUGUUGUCAAAGGCCUUGGCCAGAAUUCUAAAGUCAGUCCCACUGACUCAAGGUGGAAGCAGGGCAGAUACCUUCCCAGGCUCUGAAGGAGAAUGAGUUUCUGGCCCUGGAGGCUUCCUGGAAUCCUCAGCUUGUGCUGCCCUUCUUGAAUGACUCGAGGUCCUGCUUCCAUCACUACACUUCCCAUCGCUCUCCAUCACCUGCUCUGCUCUGGCUGGCUGCAGUCUUCGUUCCCUGCAACAUUUGUCUCCUGGGUUCAAGUGAUUCUUCUACCUCAACCUCCUGAGUACCCGGGACUACAGAGAAAUGCAAUGAUCGUAUCACUGAUCUAUGUAAACACAUUGAAGAACUAUCUGAAAGAAAAUAUGAGUCUUGCUCUUUCACUCAGGCUGGAGUGCAGUGGUGUGAUCUCAGCUGACAGAAACCUCCACUUCUCAGGUUGAAUUUAUCCUCUUGCCUCAGCCUCCCUAGUAGCUAGGACUACAGGUGAGUGCCACCAUGCCCAGCUAAUUUUUGUAUUUUUGGUAGAGAUGGGGUUUCACCAUGUUGGCCAGGCUAGUCUCAAACUCCUGACCUCAGGUGAUCCACCCACCUUGGCCUCCCACAGUGCUGGGGUUACAGGUGCGAGCCACUCCCACCUGGCUAACACUUGACUUUUUUCUUUUUUGAGAUGGAGUUUUGCUCUUGUUGCCCAGGCUGUAGGGCAAUAGCUCAAUCUCGACUCACUGCAACCUCUGCUUCCCGGGUUCAAGCUAUUCUUCUGCCUCAGCCUCCAGAGUAGCUGGGAUUACAGGCAUAUGCCACAGUUAAUUUUAUAUUUUAUUAGAGAUGGGGUUUUUUUCAUGUUGGUCAGGCUAGUCUGGAACGGUCUACCUCAGGUGAUUUGCCUGCCUCAGCUUCCCAAAAUGUGGGGAUUACAGGCAUGAGCCACCAUGCCCAGCCCAGCUCUUGACUUUUUAUAGCUGUUAUGUUAGUUGAGUCUUGAGUAAAUAAAUGCUAGCUUAAAAGUUGCAGU